rnacentral:rRNA from 1 species
UACGAAGGGUGCAAGCGUUAUUCGGAAUUACUGGGCGUAAAGAGCGUGUAGGCGGUCUGUUAAGUUAAUUGUUAAAGACCUUGGCUCAACCAGGGACAUGCGAUUAAAACUGGCGGACUAGAGGGCAAGAGAGAGAAGUAGAAUUCUCGGAGUAGCGGUAAAAUGCGUAGAUAUCAAGAGGAACACCUGAGGUGAAGACGGGUUGCUGGGCUGACACUGACGCUGAGGCGCGAAAGCCAGGGGAGCAAACGGG